rnacentral:rRNA from 1 species
UACGAGGGGGGCAAGCGUUGUUCGGAAUUAUUGGGCGUAAAGGGAGCGUAGGCGGUUCGGUAAGUCACUUGUGAAAUCUCUGGGCUCAACCCAGAGUCUGCAAGCGAAACUGCCGGGCUGGAGUAUGGGAGAGGUGAGUGGAAUUCCCGGUGUAGCGGUGAAAUGCGUAGAGAUCGGGAGGAACACCAGAGGCGAAGGCGGCGACCUGGACAGGUACUGACACUCAACUACGAAAGCGUGGGGAGCAAACAGG